GACUUCUGGUUUAAUGCACCUGGCCCGCGGCCGUAAGGCCUGUGAGUGCCGGCGCGCGUUUACCAUCCUUCUAGAAAACGGGUCUUCCCUUAACUGGGCCGGAUUCGGGAUCUAGAUCAUUUACUUUGAAAAAAUUAGAGUGUUUAAAGCAGGCUAUUGCUAUGAAUACAUUAGCAUGGAAUAAUAAUCUAGGACUUCGGUUCUAUUUUGUUGGUUUCUAUGACUGAAGUAAUGAUUGAUAGGGAUAGUUGGGGGUGCUAGUAUUGGCCGGUCAGAGGUGAAAUUCUUGGAUUCGGUCAAGACUAACUUAUGCGAAAGCAUU
rnacentral:rRNA from 2 species